GACGAACGCUGGCGGCGUGCUUAACACAUGCAAGUCGAACGGAAAGGCCCUGCUUUUGUGGGGUGCUCGAGUGGCGAACGGGUGAGUAACACGUGAGUAACCUGCCCUUGACUUUGGGAUAACUUCAGGAAACUGGGGCUAAUACCGGAUAGGAGCUCCUGCUGCAUGGUGGGGGUUGGAAAGUUUCGGCGGUUGGGGAUGGACUCGCGGCUUAUCAGCUUGUUGGUGGGGUAGUGGCUUACCAAGGCUUUGACGGGUAGCCGGCCUGCGAGGGUGACCGGCCACAUUGGGACUGAGAUACGGCCCAGACUCCUACGGGAGGCAGCAGUGGGGAAUAUUGCACAAUGGGCGGAAGCCUGAUGCAGCAACGCCGCGUGCGGGAUGACGGCCUGCGGGUUGUAAACCGCUGUCGCCUGUGACGAAGCGUGAGUGACGGUAAUGGGUAAAGAAGCACCGGCUAACUACGUG
rnacentral:rRNA from 1 species